GACGAACGCUGGCGGCGUGCUUAACACAUGCAAGUCGAACGGAAAGGCCCUGCUUUUGUGGGGUGCUCGAGUGGCGAACGGGUGAGUAACACGUGAGUAACCUGCCCUUGACUUUCGGAUAACUUCAGGAAACUGGGGCUAAUACCGGAUAGGAGCUCCUGCUGCAUGGUGUGGGUUGGAAAGUUUCGGCGGUUGGGGAUGGACUCGCGGCUUAUCAGCUUGUUGGUGGGGUAGUGGCUUACCAAGGCUUUGACGGGUAGCCCGCCUGAGAGGGUGACCGGCCACAUUGGGACUGAGAUACGGCCCAGACUCCUACGGGCGGCAGCAGUGGGGAAUAUUGCACAAUGGGCGGAAGCCUGAUGCAGAAACGCCGCGUGCGGGAUGACGGCCUUCGGGUUGUAAACAGCUUUCGACUGUGACGAAGCGUGAGUGACGGUAAUGGGUCAAGAAGCACCGGCUAACUACGUG
rnacentral:rRNA from 1 species